UGGCCCAUCUCCAGCUUGGACUGCCAGAGGAAAUGUCCGCGUUUUUCAGUGCACAAAACCAUUAUCCGAAUAUUGAAUACUGAAUUUCACUUAACUGAAAGGCUUGAAAAUAGGUCAGAAACAGACCAACAGGGGACGCCGUUUGCCAUUGCAGCCUCAAGUCACGUUAUUACUCGUCUUCCGCUACAUGCUCGCGCUAAACUAAUUUACAGGUUUAAACGACGUAGGUUGACGAUCAUCUUCAUCAUCAUUAUUAAGGAAAGAGCAGAAGAAGAGAUGGUCUAUGCACCAACCCAAAACAAGAUCGAGGUGGAAAUGACAGUAGAUCUGUACCAUCCCCUGGCUCAUGACCUGCUACUGAAAUACUUCAAGUUAAUCGAUAAAACAGUGGUGCGUUUCCCAGCUAAUGUCAAGUGUCUGAGGACCACCACCUUGAUGCAUUAUUAAAUGCACAUACGCAGACUGGAGGCAAAGACGUGGAACAGAAGCCCCGGCGAAAUGAACGCAAGAUCUGACAGAGAGAGCGAAAGAGGGAGAGAAAACUUAAUUGAAGCCUGAUUACUGGCCCUUGGGAGGUUACAGUUUAUUAAUAUGUCACUUUCAAUAAAGACACUCCCAUAUUCAGAUUCACUGUUACCAUGGAAACCUCGUUUCUUUUUACGUUUGACUUUUUUUCCCCUCCCUGAGUGGAAGGAGAGGUUAAUGACACAAAUCCUCCCGACGCUCAGGUUGAUUUUCAAACCCCUCUGUCUGAAAUAAUCAGUGUUUUGCUUUUCUACAGCUCUGUCUUUGCCCUCUGAGCCGCUGUGGGAAGAGAGGAGAUAUUUUAUGCCCAUUAUUCAUUAUGUGUUCGAUUUUUCAGGAAACCAAAUGGCCCACAUUUAAACAGCCUGUGAAAUAAUA
ensembl:lncRNA